rnacentral:rRNA from 1 species
CCCUUAGAUGUUCUGGGCCGCACGCGCGCUACACUGACGAAUUCAACGAGCUUAUAACCUUGGCCGAAAGGUCUAGGUAAUCUCCAAAAUUCGUCGUGAUGGGGAUAGAUUAUUGCAAUUAUUAAUCUUCAACGAGGAAUGCCUAGUAGGCGCAAGUCAUCAGCUUGCGUCGAUUACGUCCCUGCCCUUUGUACACACCGCCCGUCGCUCCUACCGAUUGGGUGUGCUGGUGAAAUGUUCGGAUCGGCCGUUUGUCGCGGUUUCCGCGGCUCGUGGCUGAGAAGUUCAUUAAACCCUCCCACCUAGAGGAAGGAGAAGUCGUAACA